rnacentral:rRNA from 1 species
GGGUUGUAAACUGCUUUUGUCAGGGACGAAAAGGAUCGUGAUAAUACCAUGGUCUGCUGACGGUACCUGAAGAAUAAGCACCGGCUAACUACGUGCCAGCAGCCGCGGUAAUACGUAGGGUGCAAGCGUUAAUCGGAAUUACUGGGCGUAAAGCGUGCGCAGGCGGUUCUGUAAGACAGAUGUGAAAUCCCCGGGCUCAACCUGGGAAUUGCAUUUGUGACUGCAGGACUAGAGUUCAUCAGAGGGGGGUGGAAUUCCAAGUGUAGCAGUGAAAUGCGUAGAUAUUUGGAAGAACACCAAUGGCGAAGGCAGCCCCCUGGGAUGCGACUGACGCUCAUGCACGAAAGCGUGGGGAGCAAACAGGAUUAGAUACCCUGGUAGUCCACGCCCUAAACGAUAUCGACUGGUUGUUGGGGUUUUUUAACCUUGGUAACGAAG